UACGUAGGUGGCAAGCGUUGUCCGGAAUUAUUGGGCGUAAAGCGCGCGCAGGCGGUCCUUUAAGUCUGAUGUGAAAGCCCACGGCUCAACCGUGGAGGGUCAUUGGAAACUGGAGGACUUGAGUGCAGAAGAGAAGAGUGGAAUUCCACGUGUAGCGGUGAAAUGCGUAGAGAUGUGGAGGAACACCAGUGGCGAAGGCGACUCUUUGGUCUGUAAACUGACGCUGAGGCGGCGAAAGCGUGGGGAGCAAACAGG
rnacentral:rRNA from 1 species